GCGGUCAUACUAACACUAAUACACCGAAUCCUGUCAUAACUCUACAGUUAAGUGUGCUUGGGUGAGAGUAGUACUACAAUGGAUGACCCCCCUGGGAAGUUCUCGUGUUUCACCC